AGAGUUUGAUCCUGGCUCAGAACGAACGCUGGCGGCGUGUUUAAGACAUGCAAGUCGAACGGAGUGAAGUUGUAGUAAUACCGCUUCAUUCAGUGGCGCACGGGUGCGUAACACGUGAGUUACAUGCCCUGCAGUGGGGAAUAGCCCGCCGAAAGGCGGAUUAAUACUCCAUGGUCCCGCAAGGGUAAAGGUGGCCGCAAGGCUGCCGCUGCAGGAUUGGCUCGCGGCCUAUCAGCUUGUUGGUGAGGUAACGGCUCACCAAGGCGACGACGGGUACCUGGUCUGAGAGGAUGAUCAGGCACACUGGAACUGAGACACGGUCCAGACACCUACGGGUGGCAGCAGUCGAGAAUAAUUCACAAUGGGGGAAACCCUGAUGGUGCAACGCCGCGUGGAGGAUGAAGGUCUUCGGAUUGUAAACUCCUGUCAUCGGGGAGUAAGACCUGGAGGUGAAUAGCCUACAGGGUUGAUAGUACCCGAAGAGGAAGGGACGGCUAACUUCGUGCCAGCAGCCGCGGUAAUACGAAGGUCCCAAGCGCUGUUCGGAAUCACUGGGCGUAAAGGGAGCGUAGGCGGCGUGGUAAGUCAGAUGUGAAAUCCCGGGGCUCAACCCCGGAACUGCAUCCGAUACUGCCGUGCUUGAGGGUUGGAGAGGUAGCUGGAAUUCUCGGUGUAGCAGUGAAAUGCGUGGAUAUCGAGAGGAACACUCGUGGCGAAGGCGAGCUACUGGACAACAUCUGACGCUGAGGCUCGAAGGCUAGGGGAGCAAAAGGGAUUAGAUACCCCUGUAGUCCUAGCAG
rnacentral:rRNA from 1 species